rnacentral:rRNA from 1 species
UGCAAGUCGAACGGAUCCUUCGGGAUUAGUGGCGGACGGGUGAGUAACACGUGGGAACGUGCCCUUUGGUUCGGAACAACUCAGGGAAACUUGAGCUAAUACCGGAUGUGCCCUUCGGGGGAAAGAUUUAUCGCCAUUGGAGCGGCCCGCGUCUGAUUAGCUAGUUGGUGGGGUAAAGGCCCACCAAGGCGACGAUCAGUAGCUGGUCUGAGAGGAUGAUCAGCCACAUUGGGACUGAGACACGGCCCAAACUCCUACGGGAGGCAGCAGUGGGGAAUCUUGCGCAAUGGGCGAAAGCCUGACGCAGCCAUGCCGCGUGAAUGAUGAAGGUCUUAGGAUUGUAAAAUUCUUUCACCGGGGACGAUAAUGACGGUACCCGGAGAAGAAGCCCCGGCUAACUUCGUGCCAGCAGCCGCGGUAAUACGAAGGGGGCUAGCGUUGCUCGGAAUUACUGGGCGUAAAGGGAGCGUAGGCGGACUGUUAAGUUAGAGGUGAAAGCCCAGGGCUCAACCUUGGAAUUGCCUUUGAUACUGGCAGUCUUGAGUACGGAAGAGGUGUGUGGAACUCCGAGUGUAGAGGUGAAAUUCGUAGAUAUUCGGAAGAACACCAGUGGCGAAGGCGACAUACUGGUCCGUUACUGACGCUGAGGCUCGAAAGCGUGGGGAGCAAACAGGAUUAGAUACCCUGGUAGUCCACGCCGUAAACGAUGAGUGCUAGUUGUCGGCAUGCAUGCAUGUCGGUGAAGCAGCUAACGCAUUAAGCACUCCGCCUGGGGAGUACGGUCGCAAGAUUAAAACUCAGAGGAAUUGACGGGGGCCCGCACGAGCGGUGGAGCAUGUGGUUUAAUUCGAAGCACGCGCAAACCUUACCACCUUUUUGACAUGCCUGGACCGCCACAGAGAUGUGGUUUUUCCCUUCGGGGG